rnacentral:lncRNA from 1 species
UAGUUGUAGAUGGACACAAGACUUUUUUUAAGUUUUUAUGUGGUGCUGAGGAUCAGACCCAGUUUCCGCACAGCUGUCAGCUACGUAUUUUCUGUUUGGUUGUUUACAUGUUUUCCUUGGUGGCAUUUUCUGUUUUCUCCUACAUUACCCUGCCUCCUUUUCCCUUCAGUCCUUUGUCCUUGGAUUCUUUUAACACUUACAUUCUUGUCAAAAAUUCCAGUGUCUAGAUUUCUGCAGGGAUGGUUUCCAUCACAUUUUUUCCCCUCUGUGAACCAGUCAUACUUUCCUGUUUCUUUCUGUUUUGUGAUUCCACCCCCGCCUGGGCAUUGGGAGGGCUUUG